rnacentral:rRNA from 1 species
AGUGAACGCUGGCGGUAGGCCUAACACAUGCAAGUCGAACGGCAGCACAGUAAGAGCUUGCUCUUACGGGUGGCGAGUGGCGGACGGGUGAGGAAUACAUCGGAAUCUACUUUUUCGUGGGGGAUAACGUAGGGAAACUUACGCUAAUACCGCAUACGACCUACGGGUGAAAGCAGGGGAUCUUCGGACCUUGCGCGAUUGAAUGAGCCGAUGUCGGAUUAGCUAGUUGGCGGGGUAAAGGCCCACCAAGGCGACGAUCCGUAGCUGGUCUGGGAGGAUGAUCAGCAACACUGGAACUGAGACACGGUCCAGACUCCUACGGGAGGCAGCAGUGGGGAAUAUUGGACAAUGGGCGCAAGCCUGAUCCAGACAUACCGCGUGGGUGAAGAAGGCCUUCGGGUUGUAAAGCCCUUUUGUUGGGAAAGAAAAGCAGCAGGUUAAUACCCCGCUGUUCUGACGGUACCCAAAGAAUAAGCACCGGCUAACUUCGUG